UACAGAGACUGCAAGCGUUAUUCGGAUUCACUGGGCGUAAAGGGUGCGCAGGCGGCCAAGUGUGUUAGGUGUGAAAGCCUGGGGCUUAACCCCAGAAUUGCACCUAAAACUACAUGGCUAGAGCAUUGGAGAGGGUAGCGGAAUUCACGGUGUAGCAGUGAAAUGCGUAGAUAUCGUGAGGAACACCAGAGGCGAAGGCGGCUACCUGGACAAUUGCUGACGCUCAGGCACGAAAGCGUGGGGAGCAAACAGG
rnacentral:rRNA from 1 species